UAAGCUGUAUGGAUUUUGAACUUCUUCUAUGUAUAUAUAUAUAUAUAUACCCUAAAUAUAUUUCUUUUUGUUAAAGUAGCCUAUAACAUAGAAUUCUAAGAGAGAGUGGAGAGGUAUGGAUGGAAAUUAUAAGAUUAAGCUUCUUGUGGUAAUGAUGGUGUUGAUAGUUAUAGUGCAAGCUGAUGACCAUUCCCCUCUUCAUCCUUCUUCAUCUCCCCCUCGUCAUGAUCUCUCUCCUUCUGACAAUGCGGGUAUUAUGGUAAGAUCAAAACUGAUAUGCCCACCAAAGUGUUUACUCAAAGGCCUAAUGAAAGCAAGAAGGAAAAAAAACCAAGAGUCUCCCCAUGAGAAGCACCCUUAUCAACAUUACUUGAAUCUGUUUUAUACUUUUUGUAUGUUAGAGUGCGAGAAUAGUCAAGAUAAUUAUCCUUAAGCAUUGAAUUGAGACAAGGUUUGAAUCAAGUGGAGGGCCAUAUGGAAAUUAAACUGAUUAAACAUCUUCAAGAGGCACGAGCUCUUCAUCGUACUUCAUUAUAGAAUAAAAGAGGAUGCAUGUCCUAUAUAUUUAUAUAUUUACUAGAAUAAAAUAAACUCAAUGUUAUGUAUCAUACACUUUCUUUGAAUGAAUAUCUUUACGUAUAA